UCAAUGGUCUUUUCUAAGACCAUACAUUUUUUUUUACAAGGGAUGU
rfam:Sarcophilus harrisii ctg7180002449092, whole genome shotgun sequence.